GACGAACGCUGGCGGCGUGCUUAACACAUGCAAGUCGAGCGGUAAGGCCCUUUCGGGGGUACGACGAGCGGCGAACGGGUGAGUAACACGUGAGCAACCUGCCCUUCACUUCGGGAUAAGCCUCGGAAACGGGGUCUAAUACCGGAUAUCACUCCUUACUUCAUGGUUUGGGGUUGAAAGUUUUGGCGGUGGGGGAUGGGCUCGCGGCCUAUCAGCUUGUUGGUGGGGUAAUGGCCUACCAAGGCGUCGACGGGUAGCCGGCCUGAGAGGGCGACCGGCCACACUGGGACUGAGACACGGCCCAGACUCCUACGGGAGGCAGCAGUGGGGAAUAUUGCGCAAUGGACGGAAGUCUGACGCAGCAACGCCGCGUGAGGGAUGACGGCCUUC
rnacentral:rRNA from 1 species